GGGGAUAAUCUUUUUUUCCUUGGGAUCAUAUCAGUGUUUCUUUACACCCAUUUAGUCCACAAGCGAUUUCCUGAAUGAGGCGCCCAGAGUGUGACAGAUCCAAGGCUCAGGGAGUCAUAUAUCCUUAUUAUGGGAGCCCAUUGGUCAUCAGCUUGAGAAUGUCUGACCAGCGCCAGAUGUGGCACAGCAAAUGAGGAAGCUGGAUGACGAAGGAGGAAGCUGGUCCACCGUGGCCAACUGAGGCGGGAUGACAAGGUCAGUGGGCGAACAUGGAUCAGUGGACAUCGAGGGGCGGCACAGAAAUGUCAUGGAUGUCUGCCUGCGCUAAUGCAAGGUCCUGUUCCUGUCAUCAUGCAGAUGUUUGGUUCUGUGGGGAAGAAUGAAUGGAGAUGAUGAAAGCGUGUGUGUGUGAAGCUUUGGCCGACGAGGCGAUACAAAAGGCAAGUGAAGAAAGAUGCCAGCCCUCAGUCAUGAUGUCUAAUAAUCUUAGCGCCGCAUCCGCCACGUCUGCUGUUGAAGCAAACAGAUGGACUCCCACACUGGCAGCUCGGAGGGAAUAGAUAAAGCACUUCUCUGCCCGCUGUGACAGCUACUUAUUGACUGUUGAGUAGGCAAGAUUGAACUAAUUACAAACAGGUAAUGAACUGAGCCUUGCUGUGCUUGCAUAUCAUAUAUGCCGUUACAGUUUGUGAAGAUUGUUAUAA